rnacentral:rRNA from 1 species
GACGAACGCUGGCGGCAUGCCUAAUACAUGCAAGUCGAGCGAACAGAUGAAGUGCUUGCACUUCUGACGUUAGCGGCGAACGGGUGAGUAACACGUAAGGAAUCUACCUAUAAGCGGGGGAUAACAUUCGGAAACGGGUGCUAAUACCGCAUAAUAUCUUCUUCCGCAUGGACGAAGAUUGAAAGACGGCUCUGCUGUCACUUAUAGAUGACCUUGCGGUGCAUUAGUUAGUUGGUGGGGUAACGGCCUACCAAGACGAGGAUGCAUAGCCGACCUAGAAGGGUGCUCGGCCAGAUGGGGACUGAGACACGGCCCAAACUCCGACGGGAGGCAGCAGUAGGGAAUCUUCCGCAAUGGGCGAAAGCCUGACAGAGCAAUGCCGCGUGAGUGAAGAAGGCCUUCGGGUCGUAAAACUCUGUUAUAAGAGAAGAACAAAUUGUAGAGUAACUGCUACAGUCUUGACGGUAUCUUAUCAGAAAGCCACGGCUAACUACGUGCCAGCCGCCGCCGUAA